UGUGUAGGUGGAAUUGCAAGUCAGUGGUGAAAUCCUGCGGCUUAACCGUAGAACUGCCAUUGAUACUGCUUUUCUUGAGUACUGGAGAGGCUACUAGAAUUCGUGGUGUAGCGGUGAAAUGCGUAGAUAUCACGAGGAAUACCAGAGGCGUAGGCGGGUAGCUGGACAGAUACUGACACUGAGGCACGAAAGCGUGGGGAGCAAGCA
rnacentral:rRNA from 1 species